UGUGCAAGAGGUUGUUGAGGUGGUGGCAGAAAACAACAUAUUUUCAAAAUCUUGUGAAAAAAAAUGGAUGUCUGUGAAUCAGCAAAACAAGUCAUAUGUUAUGUGCAACUCUCCUCUUGUAAUGCCCAGAGUAUGUAGGAAGUGAAGUAUAACUUUAUUUUGCAAUUUCAAGAUCCAGAGUUUAAUAAUGAACUUUGUAAUUUGACUGAUUUUUCAGAGCUCCUCCCUUUGAUUGAACUGAUGCCACUGUCAUCAAGUGACACCCAGACAUCAAGUGAAAUAAUGAGUGAUACUCCAAGCACAGCAGAUACAAUACUGAUCUUUAGAUCACCCAGGAAAAGAAAAUAGCUUGGCCUGAAGUCUAUUUGAUUCCAAAAUGUUCUGUUGACGUAGAGUAUAGGCUCAGUCAAGCAAAUUUAAUUUCCUUGAGUGAUGGAACACACUUAAAAGUGACAAUGGAGUUGAAACAUGACAUUCUUCAGAAGCUGGCAGAGAACAUAUGCUCCUUCAAAGCUUACCCUACCUCUUUGGAUAUACAUGAUGUUGCUAAGGCAUUAGUGGCUGCUCACCCAUGCCUUCAAGAACCAGGAUCACCUUCUGGAUACUGUGGAUGGACUAACAGUUUAAAAGACAAAAUGGGCAAUUACAGGUCAAAAAUGAGGAGUCGUGGACACAGAAAUUAUGGUUAAUGCUGGGAAAAGAGGGUGAUUUUCUGCCAGUUGUGAACCACCUAACAAGAACAUUACGAAACCAAGAAAAGGAGAAGUUAGUUACCUACCUGAUGUUCCAGAUGGGCAGGAUGCCUCCAGCCUUGAAUUAUGCAGAUGGGAUUUGGUGGAUGAAAUGAUAAAAAAAAAUGAAUGCAGUCUUUAUCAGUGCAAAGAUGGACCUGACGCUAUCUUUCAGAAGAAAAGAAGUUGUAAUUGACAAGGCCCCAGUAAGUCAUAUGCUCCAGUGUUGGCCAGGGCUAUUUUUAGAAAGUCAGAAUUUAGCACAGUUGUUGGGAGGAAUCUUAAACAGGAGUUUUAUGGCUCUUGAUCAUCACAGUCCACAGUUGAUUCAGAUCUUCGGGUCAAAGAGAGGUCUCACAGUGCAGUGAUCAUCUUCAACAAACCAAGACGUUGCUGACAUGAGAUGUGCUGUUAUAAGGGUGCUUCCAGUAAUACUUGGUGAUGACCCAACUGAGUUCUUUAAAGCAUGUUUUGUAAGUAUUGUUUGUUUCUAGGGGGGCACAGUGGCUUAGUGGUUAGCACGUUCGCCUCACACCUCCAGGGUCGGGGUUCGAUUCUCACCUCCACCUUGUGUGUGUGGAGUUUGCAUGUUCUCCCCGUGCCUCGAGGGUUUACUCUGGGUACUCCGGUUUCCUCCCCCGGUCCAUAGACAUGCAUGGUAGGUUGAUUGACAUCUCUGGAAAAUUGUCCCUAGUGUGUGUGAUCGCGUGAGUGAAUGAGUGUCUGUGCCCUGCGAUGGGUUGGCACUCCGUCCAGGGUGUAUCCUGCCUUGAUGCCCGAUGACGCCUGAGAUAGGCACAGGCUCCCCGUGACCCGAGGUAGUUCGGAUAAGCGGUAGAAGAUGAAUGAAUG